AGCAGCGAUUCCUGCGGUUAGGGUUGGGUACCAGGCCGUUAGCAGGAGCAGUACUGAGGCUUGUGUGGCGCUGUCCUUCGCUGCCACGCGGGUUCUAAGGAGGUGACACCUGAAAUGUUUGGGUUUUCACUGAAAAGUGCAAUGAAAAAGGUGAAAUCAGCAUGGCGUCUGUGGCUGUCUGCAAUGCCAUUUAAGUGUAUUUCUGUUAUAAAAAAAGCUUCGGGAUGUGUUGACUGCUACGUGAGGAAGCAGGUACAAAGGGCAUGCGUGGCAGCCCUGUUAUUGAUUACCCAUAAAGGAAAGCUGUGUUUCUGUGGGCACAAGAGGCUGUCAGACCACCAGGGGACAGCUGAGCAAUAACAAGCGCCAGGUGUUUGCUCCAUCAUUCAUUGCACUGAGAGAUGAAGAUAGUGUUGGCCAUUGCAUCCUAUUUCAAACUGCAUGCUGGGCUCCUCUGUUUUGGAACAGCUGAUAUUUUCCAGAAACACCAUGCUGCACUGAUGUGUGAAGUGAUCUCUGUGUAUCCCUCCUUGUGUCACAGGAAUGGAAUGAGGAUUAAUCAAUUAUGACCAAAUCAUGAUCCCAGUGAAGUCAAAAGAAGGGUUUUGUUCCGUGGGUAUCAUGAGGGCCAGGGCUGGCUUCUGUUUGGAUGCUAUUGCUUUGAGAUGCCUGCAUAUAAAACCAAAGGAAAAUGCAAAGCAUCACCUUGUUGAAAGUGUCUGUUAGUGAGAAUUCCUUUAGCUGGAGAUGAAAAUGCAUUUUAACAGCUGUUUCCUCAAGAGUUUAGUUACUUGUCACAGCAGGCGUUAUUGUGCUCGAGGAAAUUCUGGUUUGUUGAAUGUGGCUUUAAGCAUGUGGUGCUGGCUGGCAUUUGUGGCUUUGCAUGUCCUGUGCAUUCAAAACAUGCUUUGUUAUGCUUCCAGGGCUGGCUCUUGCUCUUUCCCAGAACAGCUUAUGCUGUGGAAUUGUAUCUCAAAAGCCAUGUUCUUAAAUCCAGCUACAGUUCAGCUUUAAAUAUUGGGAAAACAUUGAAUACUGAGCAACAAUAGCUGCAGGUUAUUCUCUAUGACCAAGUGUUAAUUAUUUUGGGCAAACAAACAUGAUCUAAAAAAGAGCAAUUCUGGCUAGAUUCCUAGGGGACUGCAAAAUAUUUCUUGCAUAGAUCUUCUGUCACAUGCCACUUAUGAUGUCACAUUUAGAACUGUAAAUCCAUUUACAAGUUGGACAAAUGAUAUCACUGAAAAACCUUUUUGGAGGAUCACCUAACUUCUUCCAUGCAAAUAUAAUAAUAGUACAUCUCUCAUGCAAAUAUAGGAAAGAGUGGUCAUGAACUAUUUUGGGAAAAGGGAACUGACCAGAUGGACAGGGAAAGAAUAUUCAGUCAGAGGAGCAGAAGAACAGUAAUAAAUAUUAUUAAAGGUGGGUAUGGAUGAAGAUUAGCCUAUUCCUGCACAAAAAUGAUCAAAUUAAACUUAGAAAAAUGUUGGUACAUUCACAACAUAAAUCAUGUGCUCUUCCGCAAAGAAACAGUAAAUGAAAAAUAGAGGAUAUGUGGCAUCCAUACUUUGUAGUGUUGACUUCAUUUUCUCAAGUAUGUAGAAAACGUUUUGAUUUGUGUAUAUUAAUAUUUAUCUGUUGGCUAAAGACUAAAUUAAAACAAAACACAGUUAAAAGCUUUUCUGGAAGUUUUAAGUGUCCUGCUCCCCUUUGCUCCAGUUCUGUGGUGUUAAACUGAAUUGUUUGGUGUCAUCUCCCAUGGUAGUGCACAGUGACCCCUCCCCUGGCUCCAAAGCCCAAAGUGAACUGUGGAUGAAAACCUUGGUUUAACCUUACCCAUGGCUGCUGCUGCCUGCCAUCCUUUUCCUUCUAAACCCAGGAAAGGACUCUGGAUCUAGAGCGUGCUCCUCUGGGUGUUUGAGCUGCAAACUGUCUCUAAAAUGUUUGGGGUUUUUAAAAAUUAUUUGCAUUGAAUAAAGUUUUGCUCUGAUUUUUCAAAGACUAUGGAUUUUAUACAUCCCCCGAAGGACCAUGACAUUUCACAAGAAAAGUGGAAUCUGUGCUACCAUUAGAUACAAGAACUUUAUAACUUCUGUUAUGUAGAAUUUUGCAUGAUUGAAUUUAAGAGUGUUGGCAGUAGAUACAUUCUGAGAAAAAAAAUACUGAACUGAAAAAAGAAAAAAAGCAGUUAUGUUUAUUUCACUGUCUGGUAGCAUUUCUGUAUUUUGUCAUCCAGCUAUUGUUGCAGAACAAAGUAAUAUUGGGUAUAAUUAGGAAUGCAGAAACACUCCUUGAACUAUCCAGGAAGAUACCCAGCUCAACUUGCAACCCAACUGAGGCCUUUAAGAUGCAUUUUCUCAUCAAGGUAUUCCUGGUAUCUUUCUUUGUGGAAGCUGUAAUCUUGUUAUUCUAUGGUCAAGUACUAUUUAUUUACUUUUUGAGAUCUGAAUUUUUAGUGUAGUAAAACCAUUGUGAUUUGUGGCCCUCUGGCUUCACUUUUAUUAUUGAUUAAUUAUUACAGGUUAAAGUCCACCAAUGAGUGGGUCCAAAAGAAACACAAAGAAUGAGGUAUUUUGCACCAGCCUGAGGGACAAAUUCCCACAAGCAGCCAAGGCAGCAGUUCUGGGAAAUUAAAAUGUCUGGCCCCAGCCUCUCUUUCUCUAUAGAGAGAGACAAUGGGGACACAGUGAUGAGUGACCCUUGGAGAUAGCUGGGGGAUAAAGACCUGCCUGCUGGCACACACAGACCCUGGAGAAGGGCAGGGGGGAAACAGGAUGACUUGGAGAAGGACAGGCUGAAAAAAGAAAAAACUACAUUUCUCACUACAGUCUCCAGGAACAUCCCACAUUUCCUUCUCAUCCCUCAUUCCUCUCAUGCAAUGAGCCUGGGGGGAUCUUUUCCUCCUCCCUAUCUCCUUCUGCCCCCAUGCAGCAGGACCCCCUUGGCCAGCUCAGGACCCACUGCUGCUGUCCUGGAGAGCCCAACACAGCCAACACAGCACAGUGGGCAGAUUGGGAAGGGAGUGUUGAAAAUGCCACUCUGUGGUUGCUUGGAAAUGAAAUCCAACUUUAGUAUUAUUUUUGAGCUUAUAUUUUUGAAUCCAAAAUUCCAUCUGACGGAAGAGAUGGGUAUUUAAACAGAUGUCUGCAAUUUCUUUAAAAAAUAGAGAUUGAGUUACAGAUGGUAGAAAGGGCCUGAGAAUUAAAAACUCCCGAGCUACAAGGAAAUUUACAUGUGAGCAAAAUGUUUUGCUGAAAUGUAUGGUCAUACAAUUCUGCAUGUUUGAAAAUUAAGCUUUUUUUCACCAAAAAUGUGAAUAUCUUUUCCCUUCCCUAUUAUCUGCUUCUCUGCUGCAGCCUUGGCUGUCACCAUCACUGUGACAGCCAAGUCGCAAUAUGAGGGUCCUGUUGCUAACAGACAAGACAUACAGUUCUCUCCUUCUCCUUUCUCUUGUAUAAUUUGGCCUGCCAGGACCAACAAUUUUGAUCUGAAUUAGUUUAAAAGAAAACUAAUCUACCCCGUUUGCAUAAUUGGUGCCUGAUUGCUCUAACUCCCAUCUUAUAAAAUGAAAAUAAAAGGAAUUUUAUGAUAUAAGCCUGGAAGGAAACCAGAGUCAAAAUCUGUAUUUGUAGAUGAAAUUGAACCUUUUUUUCUUCUCUGGGGAUUUAAAAAGAAAGCCCCCAAAAUACAUUUUGAGUGAAAAAGCUGAUAACUUCUAAAGUGCCAUAUGAAAUGCAAAGCCCUGUAUAUUGGAAGGAAAACAUUGAACAUAUUUGGUACAGUUUUGAGGAGCAAGUCAGGAUCUUUCUCAUCAUCUGUGAGACCGGUACAUGCCUUCGAGCAGCUUUAUGAAGAUCUUCCCUCAUGCACGUGUGCUCAAAAAAGCUGUAUUUUUGUGCAUAAGAACAAGUAAAUAGACUCAAAUACAAGCUGUGAGGACACUCAUAUGCAGCACUCAUCACCUGCAGAGUCCCAGUCUGUCCCCUGCCAAGCCAGUUCAAACCAGCAUGAUUCCAGAGCACAGCAGCAAGACCCACUACAUACAGAAAAAAGCUGUCAGAUGACCAAACUAAUUUUCUUUACAGUGGAGUGGACAUAAUCUAAGUGUCUACAUCAAUGAAAACAUUAAGAAGGAGAAUUGGGAUUAUCUGUCUUACCUAGUAAGUACAAAGGAAAAUAUCUGAUAAGGGAACAAGGUUUGCUCCCAUUUGUAGCCUUCAACACCUUGCUGGGUACUCAGAUCCAGGCUGGAGUCCUGUGGUGACUGCAGGGCAUUGUUCUGGUUUGUUGGCUUUCUUUCCGUGUCCAGGUCUUCUCCCUGUGAGAUCUUGUUUGAAAUUAUUUUUUGUUGGCUGCAUUUGUCUUCAUUGAGAAGGCAACAUAUACCACAGUGUGACAGUGACAGCUCUUUGCAUUUACAUAAACAUCUGCUUGGAUUUGGUACUUGCAUAUUUCAAGGAUGACUCUUAAAAAAGUGAAGGAGAAACUGGGCAUGAACCUUCUAUGACUCCAGUUAGACAGGUGCUUCCUGGCACUAAGUAAAUAUAAGAAUAAACUGCAGAAUUAGAGAUCCACUUUCAAGUAGAUUGAUUAAUUGCUUUUAAAUUACUUUCUGCCUUUUAUUUUUUGCUUUUAAAGACACAGAAACUAAUCCUAAUAGUUUGGCUUAUUUCUGAAGGAGACUGGAGAGGAAAUCUUUUUUUCUUAGAAAUCAGAUGUCUUGCUGGAGGACUUGUUGAAGGUCUCAUGUUUAUUGUGAGCUCUGACAUUUUAAUUGAAAGGACAAGAGUGUUUAUUAUUUUAGGCAAAUAGAUCUUUUGUCCUAAUUAUUUAUUAGAUAUCAGAUUAAGUAGGUUUUAAAAACAAAUACUACAAAUCAGAGUGUUUUCAACAAAAUUAUUUAAAAUCCUUUCUUUUCUAACAUUUUAUAUCCAGUGAUAUUAUAAUUACAUUAGUUCUCCACUUGUCAGGAGAUUAAAAAACCUAACUCUCUGUUUCAAAAGUAAAAAUCAAGAAUUCCCCCAAGCUUAUUUUCAUUAAACUCCUGGAUAACAUUUAAAGAUAGAAAAUGGUUGGUUAUUUGUCAAAGGGGAGAAAAAAGGGAAAUGGCACAGUCCUGCUGGAUUAAAAAAAUGCAGAUUUCAUCAGUCUACUUGGAAAAAAGAGAAAAUCACAGUACUGAAUAUUUUAUUUAAUACUAUAUGCCAUGGGAAAUAGAGAGAAAACUACCUUGAAGUACAAUAGUUUAAAAAGACCAAACAGCAGGUUUAUUCUGCAAUAAAAUUACAUCUAAAAUAAAAUAGAGUGGCAGAAGACAACAAUAGUGAAAACCAAACAAAAGGAGAGAACAGAAACACAGAGAGAGAAAGAGCCCAGUGAGCUCUGUGCUUUUCAGAAUGCUGGGUACAUAGUCCUGAUUGUUAGAUCAGCUUUCUGAAAAGGAUAUUCACCCUGUAUCUAGGAAUCAAAAAAUUAUAUCUUUAGGAGGCCUGUGGGAAUAGGAGAAAUUUCUCAUCUAAAGAAGUUAGACCCAUUUACAGAAUGUGGAUAUUUUUAUUCCUCAGCUUGAAUCCUACCAAGGGAUCCUGUGCCUUCAGUAUUUUGAGUGCUCCUAAGCGUGCCACAGCAAUAAGGGCACACUUGUGAAUACUAAAUGAGGACUGAAUUACCCUCCCUUACACAUCCUGUGCCUGAGCCAGCUCGGAAAUGAAAGAUCAUGUCACCUAUGAAGCUUGACAACUGAUUAACUGUGAUAGAAUAUUUAUAGUUCUCAUUUCCAGAGAACUGAAAAUACCUUAAACAACUGGAAUACUAAAUUACACAAAAAUAAUGUAAAUCAAUGGGAACGAUACACAAACUAGGACACAGUGCUGGUUGAGAGGUUCAAGAUGGAACUGACUGUAGAAUAAUUUAAUAUUGCUAUUGUUAAAUGGUUUGCAUGCAAUCUGGGCCUUACUCAAAUCCCUGGGACUUUUACCAUCGACUUGAAGUGAGGACAGGGCCUCAUCCUCUUUUUGGCAGAGAAAGGAGGACCACAACUCUGUGCAACACUUCAGAAGGAGAAGUAUCUCAUCCAUUUGGAAGAAUAGUGGGAAUUUCAGAUGAAGGGACUGCACUUACCCCAAAUACUCCCAAAUAAGAGCAGAAAACUGGGUUAACUUGCUGUCUGCCAGGGAAAAUAUCUCAGGGUACUGGAGAAAUGGGACUAAAACCCUCUGUGUCCUAGAAGACAGUUCUGCAAAGAGCAUGAAUGAAGUGGGAAGAUCUUAUGAACAAAAGUAAUAUACAAAAUUCAGUAUCAUGUGAAUUUCACAGGCAAUUAUGAUUUCAUAAACUUAAGCUUUAUUUUUAUAAAUGGGGAUGAAAGCACAGUCUUGAAUAAAAGAUUGGAAAAGAUUAAGAAAUUAGAAAAUGCUAAGGCAACUGCAGUUCCAAUUUCCAAUUCUCAUCUUAUCAUGACACACAUAGUGAGUGCAGUGCCCCAUUUUGAUCCAAUUCCAUUAGAUACUUGUAAGUCUCAUGCAGCACUGGUUCAUAAAACACAGGUUUUGGAUACUCACCAAAAUGAGCUCAUUAGAGAGGAGCAAGACAACUUCUCUCUGAUGAAUGGAGUAUGUAAUUUAACAAAAUGAGGUAAAUGGUGUAAAAGCAGUGUUAUAAAAUGCUCAGAUCCACGGUGAAUGUUUUUUUCCACAAGAUUUCUAGGCUGCUGUUUUUACCCUCAGAAAAUGUUACUCCUCUCU